CCACUAUUCAAUACUUGGAUUUGGAAAUAUCCAUCAAAGAACAAAGCCUUACACACUGUCUGUAUAAAAAAGAUACAGACUGGUAUACAUUGUUGCACAAUAAAAGUGCACAUUCAAGAAUGUUGAAAGAAUCACUACCCGAAGCGCAAUUUUUGAGAGUUUCACGCAACAACUCAGACAAACAUAAGAUGGAAGAACAGUUAGAGGAGAUGACUCAAAAAUUCCUUGAAAGAGGCUAUCGACAUCAGGAGUUGCUCAAGACACAACAAGAAGCAAGAAAUGCCAAUGUCAAUAUGCAAGUCAGAAAGCCACCAGCAAUGGUAUUUCCAAUGGCCUACAAUGAUGCUUCACCUAAAAUAGC